ensembl:processed_transcript
AGAAGCCGAAAACAUACUCCUCACUCAUUGCAUGACUUCAAGGCAGACAUAAUAAAAAGGUGUAUAGAAGAGGUUGUUAAAGAGUUAAAUUUUAUAUCUCGAUCAGCAUCUGGACCCAUCAUCAAAGUUGUUGCAGAUAAAAUGGGCAAGAAAUAAGGGAUAUCUUGGAGCGCUGGCCUGCAUUAUCAGAUGAAACACAGAUAAAUGAAGAAUUCAAGAGGAUAACCACUGUAGGUCUUGAAUCCACAUUUAUGGCCAAACUUGACAAACGCACCCCAAAACUAAUGGACCUGGCCUCAUCCAGGGGAGGAGCUAAAGGGGAAAGAAUCAGAAGGAUUAAGGAUAUGCUUCUUGAGAACAAUGCAGUUGAAGUAUGGAGAGAAGUAGCCAUUCACUGUCUUGUUGUCUAUCUUGGAGAGAAAGAAGAGGAUCUUUUUAAGGAGUUUGCUAAUACACAAGAAUCAUUGGUGAUCUGUCAACUAUGGAAUUAAACCACAAGACGGAAACCAUCAUUGUUGAGGGAAUCAGAAUCCUGAUUGGAAUGGAUAUCUCAAGGUGUUGUGCUCUGCUAACGGGCAUAAUAUAUGCUCUGAAUCUGAGCUACCCCAAGGAGCUUAAAUAUACUUGUUAAGUGUUUGAGAAGCUGUUUCUUGAACUUGAU